AUUUAGUUGUGCAUUUUUUCAUUAGGUUAUAUUAAAAACAGCUUGCAAAAGCUGCAGAUCUCUUGUCAGAAGUCUUUGCAAUCCCUCCACUUCUAACCCCACCCAGACUUCCUGUGGCUGUCCAAUCACAUACUUCCCAAUUCAGAUCAAUGAAAAGUCAUUCCAAGGCAGGUUUUCUGAGCAAUUACCUACCUCUUCAGAUGAGCUCCACUGAGUUAAACAAUGAGGAAUAAAGUAAUAGAACAGGUUCUGUGAUGGACAACUGGAGGAGAGGGAUUGUAACAAGCUUUACUUAUAAAAGUAAACAUGUCUGUUAAAAGUUUAAGUUUUUUUUAGUGGACACACUCGUUAUCUUGCUAAAGUACUUUAGUGGCCUAGAGGAUUUCU